UCAAGUGGCAAAACUGGCAGGCUUACCACUUUCCUCAUCUGCAGCAAAGAGUGUCGUGAGCGCCAAACCCAGCCCAUAGGGGUCCCAAGGGUUUUCGUGCACCUCCUCUCACAGUAUGGAGAGCAAUUGCAACACACUGUGAAAGAGGAAGAUCCAGAUAGUGCAUAAGGUCUGAGCCCAAGUUCACUCAUCCAUCAAAGCAGCUGUUCCUGAGAGACCGGUCAGUGAGGAUAAAGGCACAGAAGGAAUGAAGAGCACAGCCUGCUGGGAAGAUGGUGGGUGAGGGAGGUGUUGUAUUUGAGGAGCAGGUACAGUGGGAAGUAUGGCUGGGAAGGGAAGGUGCGGCGGCCUGCCUUCAAGAGUUCUCACUACCAGGAAAUGAUCAGUUGGGAGCAACAUACACCUUAAUGGUCUGGAGUUAACCAUCCCAGGGUGUAGACCUACUUGAAGACAUCAUGUUGUAGGGUUUCUCUAUGUAACCUUAGCUGUCCUGGAAUGCACUCUGUAGACCAGAUUCACUCUUUGAAUUCAGAGAUCUGCCUGCCUCUGCUUUCUGAGUGCUGCGAUUAGAGGUAUGUGUCACCACACCAGGCUAAACCUAGUCUUUUACCAUGAGGGAAAGCUGGCAGGCUGACCAACCCAGCUACUACCCAGGCCCAGAACCAGGACUAUGAGGUAGCCUACCCAACACCCACCUCAUUUUGAACUGCUGGAGCAUGUGAAGAGGAAAAACUAACAAAUCCAAAGCUACAGGAUCUCCGUGACACAGGGAACAACAGGAUAUGGAAGAGAAGUCCCAGUGGAGGCCCAGUAUUGAGGGUGUAGUGAAGCCAGAGGCCUUGAACCAGACCAAUGACUCAUUGCAAUGGACACUUACAAGUAAAGAUGUAUGGGCUGAAGGGUAAACUGUGUCAUACUACAGCUUCCAUUCCGAGAUUUAUUUCAUUUAUUUAUUUUGUUGUUUGUUUUGAGUUUUUUUUUUGGUUUUAUUUUAAAUUUUGUUUUGUGGGGAGGUUGCAAGGGCAGAGGGUGGAAGUGAGGGGACAGGGAGAUGCGUGUGAUGGGAUGCAUGAUGCGAAGUCCACAAGGAAUCGAUGAAAAGUUAAAAAGGC